CGCAGAAGUGAGAACAUCUAGGAAUAUUCUCAAGCAGUUUAAAAUGUUUAAUUUGCCAGCUCUUCUUCGAAUUCACGAGGACGAGGACGAGGACAAUGAAGAACGGGAAGCACGUCACGAAGGCUAACCGUGCAACGUCGUACCAGUACUAAUACUAUGCAGUUCGAGUCGUUCCACACAUCCGUACUACACGAUGGUGUUGACACGCAAAGAGUUUUAAGGGGCUUCCCGUGUGUCGUUGAACGCGAGAAUGGAAAGGUUUCUACGACGGAAGAGUACACGCUUGAAAAAAGACAGAUAUAUCGAGGCACGAUCACAAUCGAUUCGAAUCGAAUGGGUGACCGUUUGAAGGCGUCGUCACAGACAAUUUAACACCUGAGACACUUAAAUGGUUUGUUAACGCAUAAUAAUAUCGUUCGUUCGUUCAUUCGUUCGGUCUCAAACAGGAUACGGGACAUUACAAUAUGGAAAUACAGUGCUACCCACGUAACUGAGCCUGUCAUUGAAGAGGUGAACGCCAGAAGAGAGAAGCACUCGAGUGCGGCCAAUUUGUUCGUUACUCUUGCUUUCGUUAAUAACCCAUAAGUAUAGUCAUGGUCAUGGUAAACUGCACUUUACAAUCGUUUACGAAAUUUAUACCGAACGUACAACAAACUUCCUUUCCUUUCCUUUCGUU